AUGCAUGGGCGCAGCCUGAUCCAGCCAUGCCGCGUGCAGGAUGACGGUCCUAUGGAUUGUAAACUGCUUUUAUACGAGAAGAAACCCUUCUUCGUGAAGAAGCUUGACGGUAUCGUAAGAAUAAGGAUCGGCUAACUCCGUGCCAGCAGCCGCGGUAAUACGGAGGAUCCAAGCGUUAUCCGGAAUCAUUGGGUUUAAAGGGUCCGUAGGCGGCUUUAUAAGUCAGUGGUGAAAUCUCCCCGCUCAACGGGGAAACGGCCAUUGAUACUGUAAGGCUUGAAUUAUUAGGAAGUAACUAGAAUAUGUAGUGUAGCGGUGAAAUGCUUAGAGAUUACAUGGAAUACCAAUUGCGAAGGCAGGUUACUACUAAUUGAUUGACGCUGAUGGACGAAAGCGUGGGUAGCGAACAGGAUUAGAUACCCUGGUAGUCCACGCCGUAAACGAUGGAUACUAGCUGUUGGGAGCAAUCUCAGUGGCUAAGCGAAAGUGAUAAGUAUCCCACCUGGGGAGUACGUUCGCAAGAAUGAAACUAAGGGG
rnacentral:rRNA from 1 species